rnacentral:lncRNA from 1 species
GCCAUGUCAUUAGCAUCAUGUCGCAUGAAACUACUUUCGUUUGCACGAAGCUGUCUGUAAUGUGCUUGCCUUUUCGCGUGUUCACGAAAGCCUAAAACUAUUUUUGUAGAAAUUCUAUUUUGGUUCGACAAAUUAAUUCCGGGUCUAAUUAAACCUACACCGUCUCUCUUCUCAUUUUUAUUUCAAAAUCAAAUUAAGUAUUAGUUUAAUUUAUUUUUGUGUGCGAUUGUUUGUUGGGCCCAAAACCAGCCCAUCUAAGCCAAACCCUAACCCUAACCCUAGCUAUUUAAUCCCCUCUCCCUUUUCUUUUUCUUUUUCUUUUUCUUUCUCCCCUUCUUCCUCCUGCCGCCGCCACCUUCUUCUCCCCUUUCUUCUUCCUUCUUCCCUGCUGCCUUCUUCCAUGGCCGGCGCCCCCCUUCCUCCUGAGCACGCUCCCCGCGCGCGUCCUCGUCGCCUCUCUCUCCCUGCGGCCCUCCUCUCCAAGACCGUCCCUCUCUCCCCGUGUGCUUCCUCCCUGUCUCCCUCUCCCGUGAGCCCCCACGAGCGCCUCCAUCUCCCCAUUGCCCACGCCCGUCUUGCCGGCGCCGCCUGCCCUCUGCGCCAAGCGCCUCCCCCUGCUCCGCCGCUUCUCUGCGCCCCAGGCCGCCUGGCCGCGUCCGCCUCGUGCGCGCCUCCCCUGGCGCCCCCCUUCUCCUCUCUCCCCGCGCGCUCUCUUCCUCUACAGGCGACCACCUCCACACGCGCCGCCUCCACCGCGCACGACGCCACGCCUGCCCGUGCCGCCUCCACCUCGCUGAGUCCGCUCCGCCUCCCCUUCCACCGAGCGCCGCCCUCGGGCUGCUGCUCACCGCGGUGCCACCCAUUGCUCCGGCCGCCUCGCCGUUCUGCUUCACUAGCCGAGCUCCUACAGCCUCCUCUGCUGCCAGCACCCAUCUCCUCCAGCCUCCUCCGCUGCCGUCGCCGCAGGCCCAGCUCCUCCUCCUUGGCCCAUCUCCAAGCCUGGUCCAAGCCCAGCCCGUGGCCUUCUUUCUUUUCUGUUUUUCUGGAAUUGUGCCCCUUAUGUGUGGGCCCUGCCUCUCAGCCGCUUGCUGUUGCCGCCGCUCUGCAUGUGCUUCGCCGUGCUGCUGCCCAAGUCUUGCCUUCCGCACUGAGAGAUCGAAGGACCUCCGAGCCGGAGCCUUGAACGACUGCGACCACGACGAUUGAACGACUACUUCGCCGCGACGACUACAUCGCCUACGUGAACAGCU